rnacentral:lncRNA from 1 species
GAGUUCCCGCGGCUGCUCGGCGGCGGCCGGCUCGGGAGCAACCUUGAGCGCGGCCGCGGAGACAGUGAUUUAGGUGCCGGCACCGGAGCGUGAAGCCUCCUGCUCUGUAAUCUGACAUCCUUUUCCCCACCUCUUCCAGCGAAGGCCCCGGGGAGCCGCCUCUUCAUCCACUCACAGGUCACUCCCUUCUUAGCUGGAACCUGGACCCUGGCUCAACUUGAAUUCCUUGGCCUCCCACUGGUUUCUCUCUGGAGCUGCAUUUUUCAACCUGACCUCAGAGGAUGAGGCCUGUGCCCAGGCAGACCCCUGAGAGCCAAGAGGGUGUGGCUGAGAGGUGGCAUCUAGAUAGCUUCAUGGAGAAUCCAGUGCCUCAGCAGGAGGAGCAGACCCCCUAACGUGCCUUCCAUCAUGACCUGGAAGGACACAGAACUGAAAGUGCCACUUGGACAAGAAAGAAGAUCCUCUUAGAAGGCACCUGGGUGAACAGAUCACAUGGACGAUCACGUGAUACUCUCCCCACCCAGCCUCCAGCACUACAGAAGCCCUCCCAGACUUAGACGGAAGUCUAGGGAAAGGACGAGAACUCCGAGGAAAUUCAAAAAUCACUGAGACUGAAUUUUUUUUCCACUGCCAGUGGCACAAGGACUCAGCAUGGAAAUUAAAUU